AAAUGGCCCCCUAUGUUUUGAUUCUUUGGCAGUUUUGGACCCCCAAGGCAAAACAAAAAAAAAAUUUGACACGUGGCACCUCACUUAGGGUGCCACGUCAGCGUUGACCGAGUCAACAAUGGACUGGGGGUCCAAAACUGCCAAAGAAUCAAAACAUAGGGGUCUGUUU
rnacentral:pre_miRNA from 1 species